ensembl:lncRNA
AGAGGAGAGUGUGUGUGAGAGAGAGAGUAUGAGAGAAUGUGGGCAAGAGUGAGUGAGAGAGAGUAUGGGGAGAGAGUGUGAGUGAGUGAGAGAGUGUGAGUGAGAGAGAGUAUGGGGAUUGAGAGUGCGAGUGAGAGAGUAUGGGGAGAGAGAGUGAGAGACAGAGAGUGCGAGUGAGAGAGAGAGUGUGAGUGAGAGAGAGUAUGGGGAUUGAGAGUGCGAGUGAGAGAGUAUGGGGAGAGAGAGUGAGAGAGAGAGAGUAUGGGGAGUGAGAGUGAGAGAGUAUGGGGGAGAGAGUGAGAGAGUGCGAGAGUAUGGGGAUGCGAGUGAGAGAGUGCGAGUGAGAGAGUGCGAGAGUAUGGGGGAGAGAGUGAGAGAGGGAGAGAGAGAGAGUGCAAGUGAGAGAGUGCGAGAGUAUGGGGGAGAGAGUGAGAGAGUGCAAGUGAGAGAGUGCGAGAGUAUGGGGGAGAGAGAGAGAGUGCGAGUGAGAGAGUGCGAGAGUAUGGGGGAGAGAGAGAGUGCGAGUGAGAGAGUGCGAGAGUAUGGGGGAGAGAGAGAGAGUGAGAGAGAUAGAGUAUCGUGGUGUUUGAGGUCAGAUUAUAAAUAAACAUGAAUAAUAUCUCUGUAUUUAAACACUGUACUGAUUUUCUAUUUCAUUCUCUUACCUAGAGUCACAUGGUCUCAGUUACAGCUUCCACACACACACUCACACUCUCACACACACUCUCACACUCUCACACACACUCUCGCACACACUCUCACACACACUCUCGCACACACUCUCGCACACACUCUCGCACACACUCUCACACGCACACUUUCACACACACUCACACUCUCACGCACACUCUCACACGCACUCUCACACACACUCUCACACACACUCUCACACGCACACUUUCACACACACUCUCAUGCACACUUUGACACACACUCUCACACUCUCACACACACUCUCACACGCACACUCUCACACACACUCUCGCACACACUCUCACACGCACACUUUCACACACACUCUCACACUCACGCACACUCUCACACGCACACUCUCACACGCACACUCUCACACACACUCUCACACGCACACUUUCACACAC